rnacentral:rRNA from 1 species
GACGGAGGGUGCUAGCGUUGUUCGGAAUCACUGGGCGUAAAGGGCGCGUAGGCGGCCUCAGGUGUCGGAUGUGAAAGCCCGGGGCUCAACCCCGGAGGUGCAUCCGAAACUCUGGGGCUGGAGGUCGGAAGGAGGAGGGUGGAAUACCCAGUGUAGAGGUGAAAUUCGUAGAGUAUUGGGUGGAACACCGGUGGCGAAGGCGGUGGUCUGGGCCGGAACUGACGCUGAGGAGCGAAAGCGUGGGGAGCGAAACAGG